AUUGCAGGUGACUUUUUACUAAGUGUCUUCACAAAAUAACAUGGCUCACCAGCCUUCCAGUUUGCUUUUUAAAGUUCCCUUGCCUCCUGCCUCCAACCACCAAACCAAGGGCAGCACCAGAUCAGUUUUGGUUUGGUUGAUAAGUAAUACCAUCCUAAGUUGGAACCUCUGUGUUAGUAAGAUCAGGCCAUGGCUGUGACAACUCCAAAAUUUCACUGGUUUAACCCAACACAUGUUCAUUUUUCACUCACACAAGAGCCUAAUGUUUGUUUUAUGGAGUGAUCCACAUGGGACGUUUCAUUCAGGUUGGUGCGUCUUAGAUCCAGGCGCCUUCCGCUGUCUCCGCGACCCUCUAAGGCCUCAGUGCAGCGUGGCUCCGUAGGGAGAGUGUGGAAAAUCCUCUCGCUGCUCUGAAUGAUCCAGGCGUAUCUAUAGAUGUUGUUCGUGGCUUCUGCCUAAACUUGACGAGGUUGUGAGAGAAAGAGAUCCUUAAAAGCAUUCAAGUCGAGAUGUUAAUUAAGUAUGCGCAGGUCUGGACUUUAGGAGGAAGGCCAGUGCUGGCGAUUUCAAUUUAGGAGCCAUCAAGACGUGGAGGAUAUUUAAAGGUGCAGGACCAGAUGCGUGCAGCGGGCAUUGUACACGGCUCGGGAAGAGAACAGGGCCAAAGGCAGAACUCUGGGCCGUUCCGCAUUUAGAAGGAAGUCUAGAGAAUCUGGCAAAGAAGUUUACAAAGGAGGUGUCAGUGAGUAGAAUGCACACUGAGACACUGGCACGUCCCAAGUUCCAAAAAAAGAAAGUGUUUCAAGAAAGAAGAAAUGCGUGGUCUUGCAGGUCCGAGGAGAGCCAAGGAUAGAGCAGGGCACUGGGUGGAAGGCCACUGGUAACCUUGACAGAAGCAGAGGCUUUGGAACGGUGGGGGAAAAGCUGAGUCUAAGUUGGCUUUAGAGAAAGCAGAGCAGGGAAAGGGACACGAGCUGGAGAACAAGGAAGAGAGGAGCUGCGUGAAGGAGCGAAGCCUGACAGCGAGUCGGUCAUCCCUCCAGUAGCAGGAGGGGAAUUGAAGAGGAAGAGAAAAAGGCGUCCCUGUCUGAUGAAAUGUGACUGACGGGAGAGGGAUGCCAUUUGUGGACCUGCACCGAGAGUGGCCUUGGAAAAUGACCAUCCCUUCUGGAAAGGAAAAAAUAAGAUUGGGUUUGUGGAUUCGUGGUGGAAGGAGACAUUCUUUCAUGAUUUCUCCCAUUUUUGUCAGAGAAAAAGAACAAAGUAGGACCACCCAUAUAGGGUGGGGCGUGGGCUUUGGAGAUGCGAGGACAAGGAACACAGAGCUUUCUCAGAAAACGCGACCUUACUCUCAGUACCGCCCCUGGGGUGCGUCCGCUCCAGCUAAAGCUUGAAGGGCAGGAGGGUGUCGGGCAGGGCAGGGACAGACCUUGGCCGGAGUGGCUGGGUCUCAGCUGGCUGCUCACCACAAGGGCGGGAGGUGCUCAGCCUGGUGCAGGCCUGGGCGAACGCAGAGUUUCUGUCCGACUUGGACACAGCUUCACAGGACAAGGCGCCGCGGCUGCUCUGGAACUUUACAGGCACAGCUGAAGCAGAGUUGCUUUUUCGGUUCAGGGCAGCUCAUUCGCACACAGCCUCUUGGGCAGGGCUUCUAAACUAGCUUUGGUGAACGAAUGUUUAGCUUUGGUUCCUAUUUUCUUCUUUAACUACACAGUCAUCUUGGAUGGACAGUUUUGUAAAAUACACACAUUAAACUAUUUUUAAAAAAUUGAAUGACAAUUCAUAUAAGAUACAAGACUCAAUAUUUUGAUUCUGUUCAACAAAUCAAAAAUAUAUAUGUGCGCCAAUAAAUCUAAUCUGAACAGACACACAACAAGGAAAAUAAACAAUUACAUUAUUUACUGGAAGUAUGUGUGUAGGCGGUUCAUGGAGACAGUCUCUCCUGUGGUCAUAACUUGGCUCUCCAUCUGUGAAUCAGCAGCCCUUGCAUGUGACAUAGCGAUUCCCACACUAAGCACCUAAAAAUCACUCUUAGAGUCCAUCUGUAUAAACCUUUUCAAGUUGUGUAGUGACACAGGAACUGCAUUUUUUUGUUUUGUUUUGUUUUUGUUUUUCACUUAUCUAAUAAGACCUGGUGACAAGGGCUGCUAUUAUUUUAUAUUUUUAAGCUUUGCAAGAAGUCAGCAACACUGAGGCACUUAGAAGACAUUAUGUCACAUUAGGUGUUUUCCUCCCAGAGAUGGUUACUGCGUUUUGGCAAAAUUAAAAUCCCGCUAGGCUCUUUCUCCCACUCACAUUGGCCUUCGCGAGCAUCGUCGUGGGAAACCAUCGUGGCGCGCGGACUGGGCUGCUGCCUGAUGCUCCUAAGCCUCUUGCUCUCAGAAACCGCCGCGUUUCUCCCCUGGGCUUUGGCAGCACUAGAUCCCGGUCAUAGGAUCGCGUUUUAGCCUGAGGAACUGCUUUUGGGAAAAGAGUUGGCUCGCUUUUAAAUUGGUCGAAUAUGGGACUAAUUCUAUAUUAAUUUUGCAAAUGCUGUCAUUUUAAGUGUUCUUUAGAAGUGAGGUACAUCAGAAACAUGACAUGAAAUUAAUUCAAUUUGUGAGGCCAUAAAACUUUCAUAAUAAAUCUUAUUCCAGUGAGAGCCUAACGAGCCCACACAAACAUUUGAGAAUCUUCUGGCUAAGACAGAAUCCAGUGUGAAAUGGAAGAGGAUAUUUCUGGCUUUUAUUUCCUUGGACGUUUAACCCAUGGGUGAAAGAGAUUUUGAUGUUGCUAAUUAUUUUAGCCUCCACCAUAUAAAGACGUCUGAUUUGUGACUUUUUCUUUCUCUGCCUCUAGGAGAGAGUAAGGGCUCAGACAAGGUUGUGAGUGUUAGAGAGAAGGGAAUUCGAUGAUGGGAGUAAGCUUAUAGGAGACUUUUUAAUAAAAAAGCUUUUUUAAAAUUGAUGUAUAGUUGAUUGACAAUGUUGUGUUAGUUUUAGGUAUACAGCAAAGUGAUUCACUGAUACAUAUGUGUGUGUGUGUGUGAUCUUUUUCAGAUUCUUUACCCAUGUAUGUUGUUAUAAAAUACUGAGUAUAGUUCCCUGUGCUAUUCAGCAGGUCCUUGCUUAUUUUAUAUACAGUAAUGUGUAUAUGUUACUCCCAAAUUCCUGAUUUAUCCCUCCCUCAGACCUGUCCACUUUGGUUUUUCUAUGUCUGUGAAUUUGUUUCCACUUUAUAAAUAACUCAUUUGUAUCGUUUCAUUAGAUUUCACAUAUUAAGUGAUGUACAUUUGUCCUUGACUUCACUUAGUAUGAUAAGCUCUAGGUCCAUCCAUGUUGCUGCAAAUGGUGUUAUUUCAUUCUUUUUUAUGGCUGAGUAAUAUUCCAUCACAUAUGUGUACUGCAUCUUCUUUAUCCCUUCAUUUCUUGAUGGACAUUUAGUUGCUUCCAUGCCUUGACUAUUAUGAAUAGUGGUGCAGUGAACAUUGGGGUCCAUGUAUCUUUUUGAGUUAGGGUUCUCUCCAGAUAGAUGCCCAGGAGUGGGAUUGCUGGGUCACAUAUAUACUAGUGGUAGUCCUAUAUUCAGUUUUUAUGUAAUCCACAUACUGUUCUCCAUAGUGGCUGUGCCAAAUUACAUUCCCAACAACAGUGCAGAAGAGUUCCUUUUGUACCACACCCUUCCUAGCAUUUAUUAUUUGUAGACUUUUUGAUGAUGACCAUUCUAGCUGGUCUGAGAUUAUAUCACAUUGUAGUUUUGGUUUGCAUCUCUCUGAUAAUUAGUAAUGUUGAGUAUCUUUUCAUGUGCUUUUUUGGCCAUCUGUCUAUUUUUGGAGAAAUGUCUAUUUAGAUUUUCUGCCCAUUUUUUAAAGUUGGGUUGUUUGUUUAUUCUGACAUUGAGCUAUAUGAGCUGUUUGUGUAUUUUGGAUAUUAAUCCAUUGUCAGUCACAUCACAUGCAAAUAUUUUCUCCCAUUCUGUAGCUCAUCUUUUCAUUUUAUUAAUGGUUUCCUUUGCUGUGAAAAAGCUUUUAAGUUUAAUUAGGUCCCAUUUGUUUAUUUUUGUUUUUAUUUUCAUUUUUCUAGGAGGUGGAUCCCCAAAGAUACUGCUGCCAUUUAUGUCAAAGAGUGUUCUGCCUAUUUUUCCUCUAAGAGUUUUAUGGUAUCCAUCUUUAUGUAUGUCUUUAGUACAUUUUGAGUUUAUUUUUGUGUAUGGUGUUAGAGAAUAUUCUAAUUUCAUCCUUUUACAUGUAACUGUCUAAUUUUCCCUGUCGCUUACUGAAAAGAGACUCUCUUUUCUCCAUUGUAUAGUCUUGCCUCUCUUGUCACAGAUUAACUGACCAUAGGUGUGUAGGCUUAUUUCUGGGCCUUCUAUCAUGUUUCCUUGAUCUGUUUCUGUUUUUGUGCCGGUAUCAUACUGUUUUGAUUAUGGUAGCUGUGUAGUAUAGGGCUUAUAUGUAAAUUCUGACCAUCUCUAUCAAGCGCUUCUUUAUUAUUGAAGAAAUUUUAUCUUGCCAUUUGAUCUCUUUGCAAAAUGUAUGCUAGCUUAUAUUUAACUAUAGGGAAUAUCAAAAUGUGGAUAAGUAAUAAAAUAGAGUUGCUGCAAUUUUUGUCUUUUCUUAAAAAAAAAAAACAAAAAAAACAAACCUCUAUGCUGACUUAUUUCAGAGACUUCCAGUGGAAAAUUUGAUCUGUCCAUCAUUAAUCCCUCGAGUAUUCCCAAAGAAAAAGUGAUUGCCGUUAGAGAACUAGGUACAGUGUUGGUACAAGACUUUGCAAGAAACUGAUGUUAAUCUCAUUUCCCAGGUGAUGGGAGUAUAGGCUGCAACCCUGGAUGGAUAGGAUAGAUCUAUGGAAUUAAAAGAACCGAAACCUGUCUCCUGUGUCCAUACUAAUUGAUUGUUUCACUUUACAAAGUUUUGGGAUAAUACUCUGACAGAGCAUUAGAUAACUGGCACUCCAUGACGGGCCUCCCCCGGAGAUGUGUCAGCCGUCUGCACGAAUCUAGGACUCGGGAGGGUCACUUUAUCCGAAUGCUAUGUCACGUGCUCCAGCCUGGCCAAGGGGUUAUUUUGUGUUGCAUUAAUUUUUUGCUGUUAUCUUGAGUCAGAACUCAGGCAGAGAAAAUGAUGCUAUUUAUUGAUAGAUUUAUAAAUUGCAGCAAUGUAAAUUAAUUGAAGAAUAAAAGCCUGGGACUAUAAAUUUAGCCAGGUAGGAAAAACCCUGUUUGUAUUUUUAUGCCUCACAAUUACAUAGUCAAUUCUAAAGCAGCUAAACUAUUCCAAUAGCAUGCGUGCACUUUAAUGAAAAGCUGCUUGCCAAAUUAUGCAGUGCAAAAUCACUGAGCCACAUGGUGAGUCACUGGAAUGCUUAGGUUCUAAACUGUUAAAAUGUCUUAAUUUUAAACUUUUACUGUUAUGGUAAAAGGUAAAAAUAGUAGAUAAUCAUAUGAUUAAAAAGUAUACAAUUACUCAUUCCCGAAACCAAAAAAUAAAGUGUUUUCUUCCCCCCAAAAGCUAUUAUUAAAUCUAGAGUUAAGUGAUUGAAAGAUAUGCUCCAUAGAAUUACCAGGAAUUUGGGAUAAACCGCUGUUUGCAUUUUAAUGCAGUCGUAUGUGGAUCCAUGUGCACAGAGUAGAGCUUGUAGAGCAGCCCCAGAGCUGGACAGGCCUAGUUCACUUACAUAAAAUACAGCAAAGGUGAUGCAUUUACUUCCUUGAGGUGCUGGGGGCCCCUCGGAUACUUGGUUAUUUGAAGAAAGAGGGAAAAUGUAUGGGGAAUCCUGAGGCAAACAAGAUAGGAAACCAGAUCCAGUUAGCAGAGCUGUGUGCUGAACCGAAUAGGAGGAGAUGUAGAAAGUUCGUGCACACCACACACUGACAUCAGGACACGGAACACCUCUGAGGGGAGGUGAAGCGUGCGUGGCCGAGUGACAUCCCACAGGAGGAAAAGAGCGGAUUCCCAAGUAGAUAAUGUGGGCGCAGGGCCACUUGCUUAAAAGGUCCUUGAACUUCAUUCGAGGCUCAGAUGGUGCUGCCUUGUAAUUCUGCAUUUUCGGGUAAGGGCCCUCCAUUUGUUUAGCACUAAGCCUUGAAAGUUAUGUAGCUUGUCCUGCAGGUGAGUGUGUUUGGUGGUUGACAGAGAGGCAGUUUUUAGUUUUGCUGUUCAGCACAAUCAUCUACAGGACACUUUGCUAUGAUAGAGACGGCAUAGGACAUUUCAGAAACAAAUUCUGGCUUUGCUAUUUCCUGUAUGAUCAUUUAGGCACAUUAUUUUAUUUUUUAUUUUUUGUCUUUUUCGUCUUUUUCGGGCCACACCCACAGCAUAUGGAGGUCCUCAGGCUAGGGGUCUAAUCAGAGCUGUUGCUGCUGGCCUACACCACAGCCACGCCAGAUCCAAGCCGCAUCUACAACCUACAUCACAGCUCAUGGCAACACCAGAUGUUAACCCACUGAUCAAGGCCAGGGAUCGAACCCUCAACCUCAUGGUUCCUAGUCGGGUUCGUUUCCGCUGUGCCAUGAUGGGAACUCCAAGACACAUUAUUUUACAUUUUACUACUCUGAUCCUUAGUUUCCUUCUCUGUCAAGAAAGAAGCUGCUGGUGUAUCACAUCGCAUACUUAUAUAUAUAUGGUAGAGGAAAUUAUAUAUUCUGUAGAUACACAAAUAUAAUUUUUUUUUGGUCUUUUUAGGGCCACACCUGUGGCAUGUGGAGAUUCCCAGGCUAGGGGUCAAAUCAGAGCUGCAGGUGCUGUCCUACACCACAGCCAUAGCAAUGCCAGUCGUGUCUAUGACUUACACCACAGCUCACGGCAAUGCCCUCAUCCUUAAGUUAGAGGCCAGGGAUCAAACUUGUGUCCUCAUGGAUACCAGUCAGAUUUGUUUCCGCUGAGCCCCAAUGGGAACUCCCACAAAUAUAGUUUUAAUAGCCAGUAUAAGAUUUCUUCUCAAGAUGAUUUAUGAAGUAGUUUGAUAUUUUCAUAUGCUCCGUGGGUUGGUAUCGGCGACCCUCAAAGGCAUGCGUUGGACAGAACAAUGGAAUAAAAAGAUGGCAAUAUCAUGAUAGUAAAGAAUAAUGAGAAGUUGGAGAGUCAGGGAAGGAAAAUGAGAGAAUUAGAGUGGGAGGUUUAUUGGAAAAGAUGAGAAAGGGAAGCAAAGGCCUUGCGAUGAAAUGGGAGACUGGCGAAUUGUGGCGAAUCAUGGGUGGUAAGGAAUUUCAGCUUUGGCACGGGUGCGACUUUCCAGAAUGAGAGUGUCUGUUAUCUAGGAGGAGUCAUUAUCAUGAUGGGAGAUCAGGCCUUCACGGGAACUUAUCGUAGGUAUAAGUCCCAGCUGCCAGUGGUUUUCUGCAAAGCAGAGUUCAGUGAUGGAAUUCCCUGCACAGAUUGGCCUGUGUUUAAGUGGAGGGACGAGACGUGGAACAGAAAUUAAUUCAAGAGUAGGUGAUAAAAUAACAUGGAACACCCUCAAACAAUAAGGCCCUAAAACCUUAUGAAUUUGGGAAAAGCAUGCAGAAAUUUGGCUUUCUGCAAAACACGAAUUACACGGCUUUUGCCAACUUUUAUUAAAAUCUUAAAAUACAAGGGAAAAUGGAUACAUGACUGAUUUAUUAUGGUUCAAAUUAGUGACAAGAUUGUAAUAUGCCUACGAUUGUGCCAUAUUCUCAUAGAUAUCAGACACUUUGAAAGUUAAUGUAGGUGCUAAUUGAAAAAUUUAUACAUAUUGUGUAUCAUAGUUUAAUAAAAACAAUUGAGUUUUAAUUGAAGAUAAUGAUAUUAAAUUGGAGGAGUAACAGUAUUUUCAGGGCCCUAGAUGUCUAAGAUGCUGUAAUAUUCUUAAAAUUUCAUCCCCUUCCCCCCCGGGUUAUGUCACGGCACACAGAUGUUCCCAAGCCAGGGAACCCGCCUCAUAACAGCAACUCGAGCCACUGCAGUGACAACGCUGGAUCCUUAACCUGCUGCAGCACAAGGCAAAUCCUCAUCCUUCAUUUAUCCUUCAGAGGAAUUAUUUGAACUUUAUGUUUAGGAAAUCUGUGUAGGCAUUAGAUUUUUGAAGAGAUUCAGAUUGUUGAGUUCUAAUUUGCUCUGUAGGAGUAACCUAGGAGAUUAUUUAUGUAAGGACAACUGUUUUCUAUUGUGUAAAAUCCUUCCUAUUAAAUACAAGUUAGGCGUUCCCAUUGGUGGUGUCUCUGUUGCACUAGGACACACAGUUCUAUACCUGGCUGGGCACAGUGAGUUAAAGGGUCCUGCGUUGGCACAGUGGUGGCAUAGGUCAUAAUCGCAUCUCGGAUCUGAUUGCCGGCUCCAGGAACUCCAUGGGCUGCAGGGCGGCAAAAAAAAAAAAAAAAAAAAAAAAAAAAAA
rnacentral:lncRNA from 1 species